GAUUUCGAAAUAAGGAUUGUGUAGUUGACGAAAAUAAUAAGAAUGUUGUGGUAAACAAAAAGAUAUAUAAUGCACAUGAUAUAUGGGUAUUAGAAUGAUGAAUGAACCAAUAGCUAAGAAAUGGGUUGGAAGCUAGCGCUAUUAGUGUCUAGUAGAAAUGAGAAAGGUUUCGGGGACGAAACCUCUUUUAAGGAGGGUAGAUUUGUAACGCCCCAAAAACCGAAUUAUUAAAUUUGUUAGUAAGGCCCCAUGUCUAAUAAAAUAGAAUGUAGUAACUAGGUUAUUGAACCUAGUUAAAUGCUUAGUCAAAACAAACAAGGACAUGAAAUUGGAUUAAUUAUGAGCAAGUGUCAAACAUGAGGGGGUGGUUUUGAAUAAAUGGAAAUAUUAAAUAUAAAACAAAAAUAAAAACCACAAACACACACAUCUGGACGUGUGUGUGUGUGUGUUCGAUCAGAGAGGAGAAAGAAAAGGGGGAAACCCCUCAUGAACCCUAAUCAACAAAUUGGAUGCGAAUUGGGCUGAAUUCGAACUUGCAUGAGCCCUAAAAGUGAUUAUCUAAGCAAGCUUUAGCCAAGGUAUGCCUUAAUUUCUAGUUUUGAUGAACAACCAUGAAGUGGGUUUUGAUGAAUGUGUGAGUUUGAUCCAAAUUAGGAUGAAAGUUUACUAUUGCUAUCAUGUUUGAGUGAAUCAUGGCUAAAUUUCGGUUGUCAUAGUGAUUUGGAAUGAGACCUAUGUCAAUAAGCAUGAGAAUAGUCAUGAUGAAUAUGUGUAUGUUGAUGAUUAUGUUGAUGCAUGGGAUAUGUGGUAGGUUUUGAUGAUAACAUGAUGCAAAAUUUAUGACAAAGUGAUCUUGCUUGAAUAUGGAAAGAAUAUGCUUGAAUUACUUGUACAUUAUGCAUAAAUGUUAGUACGCACGCCUAGUGUUUGAUGAAAUGUCUAGGCGAAGCUAGAAAGUAAAAUUAUUGCAAGAAUUUGGUAAUUUGGUGUAGAAUGUGAUAAUGUUAUGUUAGAUAGUUAAGUUAGCAUGAGAUACGUGUUUUGGAUGGAAUACAUGUGAGUAGUUAGUUGAUGAGAUGAUUCCGUGAAAGUAUGCAUUAGGAAUAAGUAUCCGAUGCUUGAAAAGUGGUGCACACCAUGAGACGGACUAGUGGCUUAAUGGUAAUUUAGGAUGAGCAUGUACUAAGUGAAGAAGUUGUGAGCUACUAGUUAAGUAUGAUGUUACGUUUCAUUAAAAUGGUUAACUUGGUAUGUAGUUGUCAAAUGUAGGAUUAUGGAAAUGUAAGUAUGUGUAAAUUGAUUUUUGUAUAACUAGGUGAUUGUGUGUUUCAUGUGUCAUAUAACAUCACAUAAGUUGGAGGUUAUAUGCUAGAAGGUUGACUUUCUGAAAGUCAACCGAUAAUUUAUAACAUGGUAAAGUAUUUGACACAAAUAUAGGAGGUUAAGUCGAAAGUUCAUAUAUAAACCAUUGACUUCUGAAAGUCAACUAUGCAUAAGAAGCAUAACUAGACUUGUUGCCAUAAUUGUAAGAUUUUAGAAAGUCAUAUGGUCUAUGUUAUAUCAAUACAUGCUAUAUAGAAUGACAUGAUGAAUUAUAUGAGGUUAAAAGGAUGUGAUUUUGAAUAUAUGCCUUAUGUUUGUUAGAAUUGACUAAUGAAGGUCAAAUGUGAGAUAUGCAUUCGUUAUGAUUGUUAAUAUGUAAUAUCUCGUAUGCUAACAAGAAUGUAAAUGUGGUGACAUGUAUGGAUAAGCAUUUAGUCAAGGUGACGUAAGCACGGAAGGCACAAGGGUCAAAAGGACACAAGAAAGCGAACAUGGAUACGGACACAAAAAGGUGUGAACAUAUAUAUAUAUGCGGACGCUAGUAUGCAUGUAUAACCGAAUGCAAGAAGGUAAGCACGUAUGUUCAUACGAUUUCAAUAUGAUUGUGUAUUGAUGCAAAUAACAGUGUACCUUGAGUAUGAACAAUAAUACAGGUACAAUGAUGAAGUCUCUCUGGAGAAUGGAUACUCAGAUGGAAAUGCCUAGUUACAAAAGGGAUAAUGGAGUAGAAAGUAAGAGUGCAUGAAACUUGUUACGUUCAUGUUGUGUACUAAUGCUCGAAAUUGUAUGGUAAGUGUAGGUCGUACAAGCCACCGUGGAUCACUGAGGAGAGGAGAUCGAAGACGAGUCACAAGAUAGAUUGUACGGGAAUACUUGACUAUGUAAAAUGAUAGUUUCAAGUUAUGCUUUUAUUUUGUAAUUAUGUACAAAAGAUAGUUUUAUUGUAAGAAAUUUUAUAGUACGAAUUUCCGCUGCGUCUU
rnacentral:lncRNA from 1 species